rnacentral:rRNA from 1 species
CAGCAGCCGCGGUAAGACAGAGGAUGCAAGCGUUAAUCGGAAUUACUGGGCGUAAAGCGCGCGUAGGUGGUUUGUUAAGUUGGAUGUGAAAUCCCCGGGCUCAACCUGGGAACUGCAUCCAAAACUGGCAAGCUAGAGUAUGGUAGAGGGUGGUGGAAUUUCCUGUGUAGCGGUGAAAUGCGUAGAUAUAGGAAGGAACACCAGUGGCGAAGGCGACCACCUGGACUGAUACUGACACUGAGGUGCGAAAGCGUGGGGAGCAAACAGGAUUAGAUACCCCUGUAGUCCCUGUCUCUUAUAC